rnacentral:misc_RNA from 1 species
GAUGAAGAACGUAGCGAAAUGCGAUACUUGGUGUGAAUUGCAGAAUCCCGUGAACCAUCGAGUCUUUGAACGCAAGUUGCGCCUCAAGCCAUUAGGUUGAGGGCACGUCUGCCUGGGCGUCACAUAUCGUUGCCUGAUGCCAGUUUCCUCGUGAUGGGUGACUGUGCAGGGCGAAUGAUGGCUUCCCGUGAGCAUUGUUGCCUCAUGGUUGGUUGAAAAUUGAGUCCUUGGUAGGGAGCGCCGUGAUAGAUGGUGGUUGAGUGACGAACGAGACCCAAUCAUGUGAGACCCCUACCGAAUUUGGCCUUCAUGACCCACAUGCGUCUUUGGAACGCUCAUGACGAGACCUCAGGUCAAGCGGGGCUACCCGCUGAGUUUAAGCAUAUCAAUAAGCGGAGGA